AUGAAUGCGUUAAGCUGUUGUUUUAGUGUUCUUUUGAUGACUUUGGCUUGUUGAUAUGAAAAGUGUUUGUUUUGGCGAGUUUGAAUGUUUUUGAGCAUGUGUAAUGGCAUGAAUGCGUUAAGCUGUUGUUUUAGUCUUCUUUUGAUGACUUUGGCUUGUUGUUAUGAAAAGUGUUUGUUUUGGCGAGUUUGAAUGUUUUUGAGCAUGUGUAAUGGCAUGAAUGCGUUAAGCUGUUGUUUUAGUCUUCUUUUGAUGACUUUGGCUUGUUGUUAUGAAAAGUGUUUGUUUUGGCGAGUUUGAACGUUUUUGAGCAUGUGUAAUGGCAUGAAUGCGUUAAGCUGUUGUUUUAGUGUUCUUUUGAUGAGUUUGGCUUGUUGUUAUGAACAUUGUUCGUUUCGGCCAGUUUGAAGGUUGUUUUAGCAUGUGUAAUGGCAUGAAUGCGUUAAGCUGUUGUUUUAGUGUUCUUUUGAUGAGUUUGGCUUGUUGUUAUGAAAAGUGUUUGUUUUGGCGAGUUUGAACGUUUUUGAGCAUGUGUAAUGGCAUGAAUGCGUUAAGCUGUUGUUUUAGUGUUCUUUUGAUGAGUUUGGCUUGUUGUUAUGAACAUUGUUCGUUUUGACCAGUUUGAAGGUUUUU